UCAUUUAGUGUAUUGUAACCUUUAUUUAAAUCAAGAACCCGUUAAUGUUUCGUAAUAUAGUUAUAUGCAUACUUUGAGGUGACAUGAGAAUUAUCACGUAGGCAUAUCCGUGUUCCAUGAUAGAAAACUGGGUGUAAAUAGAGAAUAUACGACUGAACAAAGAUGUCUCGGCCACACAUCCCUAUUGCCAGCGAAAAGGGUCGCUUUGAUAUGCUGAAAUAUGUACCAUACAUUGGAGGGGCAGCAGCGUUAUUACGGUUCAUUCAGUUCAAACGGCGAAAAGGAUUUCACGAUACCAACAGCUUUCUUCUCACUAGUCGUGUCUUCAUCCAAGGUACCAUGGUAGUGUCCAUCUUAGGUAUCGGCAUUUACCAGGGGGAAAAAAUGCAGAAAGAAAAGGACAUGAGAAAGCAAGAAGAAAAAGAUAAAAAAAGACUGGCAAGAUUAGAAAGACUUAAAGAAAAAGAAGCAGAAACCUUGGGAAAACCAGUGUUAUGAGUGUUGAUUGUGUAGAAACUGUUUAACAUUUAUUAAAGUAUUUAAUUAAUUUAAGAGAGUGAAUUUAUUUCAAGUUGUUGAGUUGUCUUAUGCGCUAUAACAGAUAAAUUGACAAAACUGGUAACCCAUUAACAAAACAGAUGAGAUUGUUACUCUGAUAACAUGCAAGUUCACAUGAAUUUCAUCGGAUAUGGCUGUGUAAGAAAAAAAGCAACCAUAUUUGAAAAAACAAACUCACAAACAAAAAUAAUAUAAGCCAAUUAGUUGGUAUUGUGAUAUUUUAUUUUACAUUUAUAUAAUUGAUUUUAAUGAUUCUUUUUUGUUUGAACACUGGGGCAGCUGGUGCUAUUGUUUUAAAGAUAACUGUUACUCCAAUAUAGCGCGGUCAAUGGGGUCCAAGCUGCGAAACAGCGUUAUAAGGGAUCCACGUUAUAGGUUUUGAGCUCAUUUACUGCAGGGCGCUAUAAAAAAACAGGUAUAGAAUAGCCUAUAAUAUAGGUCAUGUAUAUUGCCAUGCUGUGUUGACGCAAAUACAUGCAUAUAAACCGAAUCGUAUCGAUAACAGUAUACAUACCGCUUUUCUUAUGUGCACAUUUAUCCAAUAAUCCAAUAAAAUUGCAACAUCACUUAAAAAAUAAUAAUCUUGAACAUUAAUGACGAUAUAUGUUUAAGAAAUUCGUAAACACAACCGUACACAUAUAUGCCAUUUUCAGAAGUGUUAAGAGUACUGUGCAUUAUGGGGCAGAGCUUUCAUUGGUCGAGCGACAUUAAAUUUUGAUUGAAUGCAAUACGACUCAUGUACAAAAAAUUGUUUUAUUGCGUCAUACUUUCUGAUACCGCGCGAAAAUGAAAGUGAAACUCUGUUAAUAAUUACCGGUACACUGCGUUCGCAUGUAAAUAAAUCGUCUGCAUUAUUUGAUUUCUUAUACACGAACUGAAAGAUUAAAUGACAUAAUACUAGAAUGAUAAUGAAAUGACAGAAAAAGUUUUUUUAUACAGUAGGCAGUAUAUUUCACAGCCGCUCAUUUAAUAUAGUCAAACUGCAACCAUAUCAAAGUAAGAAUGUUUAAAUCGUUUUGAAUUACUUUAAUUGUAUAACUAUCCCGCUUGCAAUAAACUUAUGGAAAUUAUCGCACUGAACCGCUCUGAUGAGGAAUACAUGUAAUAAACAAUGACACGCGAGUUUUUCACACCUUUAUUGACAUUACACAUUGUGACAACAGAUUAACACCAAUAAGCUGUCGGUGUUGUUUAACCUCGAGGCGAUUAUAAUCGGUUCAACGGAUGGUUGAAUAAAGCAAUCAACAUGUGAUUGCCGCCAUCUUUGAAUUGUCUGAAAAUACAUGAAGUUGCAUCAUACGGAUUUGAAUCAGAAAUCAAAUGGAAGGUUGGAGAAAAAAUGGGAUCCAAGCACCCUCAGCGUUAUAUUGGAUUCAGCGUUAUAACGAAGCGCGUUAUAUUGGAGUUACAUUGUUAUUAUUAUCAUUAAUAUAUAUUUGUAUGCAUGCAUCAUUGAAUUCAAUUGUAAUUAGAUUAAAUGGUCAUGGGGUUCGCAUAGUUGAUAUUGGAAAGUGUACUUUCAAUUUUACAUUUUGAUGUAUUUAUCUUUCAAAUGUGUAGGCAAAGGAAUUUCAUUGUUAUUUCUGUUUACCGUAGGUUUCCACGUAUAGCGCGCUCCCGUGUAUAGCGCGCAGGCUGUUUUUUAAAUGCAAAAAUGGAGACAAAAUAUUUAAAGACAAUAAAACCACCAGAUCGGACUGAAAAUGGCCGCCAUUUUACUAUUGCACAAUCCAAUAAUCUGGGGCAUUGGAAUGCUUAAUUAAGCAUUCAAAAUAGGAAGCGUCAUUAUGAUUCGGAGCAAGGGUUGCAUAGCAAAAUACUUUUUUGACAAUUUUGUAAUUUUCUAGCCAAAGAUUAACAGUCCACAUGCAUUUCGUGAAAAACGUGAGAAAAUAAGAAUAAGUGUACAUCGUGUCAUUUUUCCUCGGGGAAAGCAUGGGCAUUACCUGUAAAUUUGAAUGUCGCAUGGGAGACAGGGAUACAGUUGUUGAGAUACACCUCUGAUGAACGUUCAAUAUUUAGACACACAAAAUGCAAUUGCAUAUCUUCACGUUCUCAAGUGUCAAUUAGUGUCUAAAAUGUCAAUUAGCAUCUUAACAAUUCGUGGCACAUUUUACUCAAUAACAUCUGCCAAUUACAAAGAGCAAAACGACCCGCUUUCACACCUACCGUUACCCGCAAAAAAGACCUUGUUCGCACAUACCCUUGCCUGCUCUCCGGAAUGUCGACAACAAUCCCCAUCGGAAUUCAUCAAUAAAGAAGUGUAAAAACACAAACAAAGAAAUGUCUGCAAGUUUAUUCAAACAAAUUAUUUUUUGACCAAAACUUCUUCUACCACGUUCAUAUCUACCAGUAGCGACUUUUUGUUGUUUCAACAAUGGCCCCUCAGUCUGUACGAUUAUAGGGUGGCAGUUUUCUGGAAAAAAACAUGGCGGCCAUUUUGAUUAUUUACGAUUACACAACAUAUUUUUUACCAAUUUAGCAGCCAGGAUAGCGUUGUAUCAAUGUAUAGCGCGCACCAGCGUUUUAAUUUGAAUUUUGGAGGUUAAACACUGCGCGCUAUACGUGGAAACCUACGAUAUUAGCACAUUAGCUUAGAAAGCAUAAUUGAAAAUUAUAAUACCCGUUUCAUGCAAAAAUGGGUCUUAUGCUAUUUGCAUCCAGCGUAAAUCCAGAAUAGCUUGGGCUACGCUGCGGGCUUUAACUCUUUCCCAGUUAUAAGCGAAGUUAAAAUGGCUAUGUGCAAACAGCAUAAAACCAGAACAGCCUGCGAGUUACUCACUUUCACUUUAUACACUAUUAUACUCUGUAUUAAAGAAGUAAUAACAACAGUUGGAAAGUCAGAUAUGACUUAUUUUCUUAAUAUGAAAAAUAUUAGUGUUGGCUUGUACUACACCAAAGUUCUUAGAGCCUUAAAGUUGUCAAUGGAAUGCUUUUGAUAUUGUCGUGAUGUUUUUUUUAAUAUUUGAAUGUUUAACAUAUUCAUAUGUUUGUGAUGGGAUUUGCACACACAAUCACGGUUUGAUCAGCUUGUUGGUUCUGUGCUCUAUUUAGAUGAACUGACUUUCAACCAACCUAUCAAGUUUAAUUACUCCUUUUAACUCAAAUUGAAUUGUGUGUGUGUGUGCACACCACAAUGAUGACAUUAUCAACAUUAUAUUCUUGAGAAUAAAUUAAGAAAUAAUGACUUCAGCUUCAUUUAGGAGAAACAAAAGCUUAAAAUGUUUCGCCAUUAUAAUUUUUGUUUGUUAAUACUACAUUUUAGAAAGAGAGACACAGUUACUUAAUAUGGAAAUGUGUGUUUGAGUUUUUAAAUGGACAUUAGUUUUGGCUUGUGUUUAGAACAUAAAGAUGUACAUAGCCCUGUUGUUUUUUACCUUGUAAAGCAGUAUUGAUCUUGGUAUGUAUGCUGUUGAUAGUAAUUGUGUUACAUAUUCAAGCUGAAGAAGUAUGUCUUUCUAAAAAAUAAAAUUGAAAAUGAGA